ACAAGGACCUGGCACAUGUUUCCUUGAACAUUUAUUUUUUGAAUCACAUUUGAAUGCAUUCUAAUUCCGUUUCUAUUCUGGCCCAGAAGUUUCCAUGGGCUCAACCUGGUUCUGGAUUACUGCAUUCUGCAUGGCUUCCACAGCCCUGGAUACUAUUUACUGUUUUUCGGAUUGUCAAGUACAUCCCUUUGAGGACUUUGAAUGGCCCUCUCACUAAGCCAGCAGAUAUAUCUGCCUGAAAAAUCACCAAAAGGAAUAGUGGAUGGUCAUCAGAAAAGGUUAUGUAACUGACAUGGGAGGAGGAGAAUUUCUUAGUCAAGACUGAGGGUAAAAUGAAGACAACUUCCUACAAAGAAGGAGACUUUACCACUACAGACCCUUGCUGAAAGAAUUAUGAGAGGAUGUACUUCAGGAAGCAUAAAACUGAACCCAGAAGAAAGGCAUGAGCUGCAAGAAAAAAUGGUAAUGUAAGUGGUAAACAUGUGGGUAAAUCUAAAUAAGCAUUGAAUGUGGAAAAUAUUAUAAUAAAUAAUUUUGGGGUGUUAAGAAGAAGUAUAAUCAGAAUACUGGAUGAUAAUUACAUGUAAAUGAAGGGAUAAUGAUCAAAAUUAAAACAAUUUAAUUUCCAUCUGUUGUUUAGGAAAAGGGUAGAGAUACUGAUUUAAUUUUAGACUUUAAGACAAGUAAGAAUGAAAACAAUGAAAGGUAUCUACAAAAGUAAUAAACCUUUUCGAUGAAUAUCGAUUGAAA
rnacentral:lncRNA from 10 species